rnacentral:rRNA from 1 species
CCUAUCAGGUAGUAGUGGGUGUAAUGUACCUACUAGCCUACGACGGAUACGGGUUGUGAGAGCAAGAGCCCGGAGAUGGAUUCUGAGACAUGAAUCCAGGCCCUACGGGGCGCAGCAGGCGCGAAAACUUUACACUGCGGGAAACCGCGAUAAGGGAACACCGAGUGCCAGCAUCCUAUGUUGGCUGUCCACAUGUGUAAAUAACAUGUGUUAGCAAGGGCCGGGCAAGACCGGUGCCAGCCGCCGCGGUAACACCGGCGGCCCGAGUGGUGGCCACUAUUAUUGGGUCUAAAGGGUCCGUAGCCGGUUUGGUCAGUCUUCCGGGAAAUCUGACGGCUUAACCGUUAGGCUUCCGGGGGAUACUGCCAGACUUGGGACCGGGAGAGGUAAGAGGUACUACGGGGGUAGGAGUGAAAUCUUGUAAUCCCUGUGGGACCACCAGUGGCGAAGGCGUCUUACCAGAACGGGUCCGACGGUGAGGGACGAAAGCUGGGGGCACGAACCGGAUUAGAUACCCGGGUAGUCCCAGCCGUAAACUAUGCUCGCUAGGUGUCAGGGACGGUGCGACCGUUUCUGGUGCCGCAGGGAAGCCGUGAAGCGAGCCACCUGGGAAGUACGGUCGCAAGGCUGAAACUUAA